AAGAUACUAGUAAAAUAGUUAUUACACUGCCUUGUCGAGGCAGAGUCGUGGGUUAAAUCCCCGCGUAUCUUG
rnacentral:tRNA from 1 species